UGCCGCAGCUGGUGGGCCACGUGCCGCAGCCCAGCGCUGGCGGUGCCCAGCUCCCGUGUCACCUCGGCCACCUCCCGCCGGGCGCUGUCCCUGUCCCUCUCCCUCUGCUCCAACCUCCGCCCCAGCUCCGCCGCGCGCCGCUGCGCCCUGCCACGGGGACACGGGGACACGGGGACACGGGGACGUGGAGCCCCCCCCGGGGACACAGGUGGCCCGCACCCAGCGACCCGAUGUCCUGUGCGUCGGUGACACAGAUGCCACCACCCCAUGGGGACACAGGUGUCCUGCCCCACGGAUCCUGGUGUCUCAUCCCAUGGGGACACAAAUGUCACCACCCUUGGGGACCUGGGUGUCCUACCCCACGGUGACACAGAUGUCCCACCCCAUGGGGACCCAGUUGUCCCAUCCCCAAGGAUCCUGGUGUCUCAUCCCAUGGUGACACAGAUGCCACCACCCUUGGGGACCCAGAUGUCCCACCCCUGGGGACCCAGCUGCCCCAUUCCAUGGGGACACAAAUGUCACCACUCUUGGGGACCCAGAUGUCCCACCCCAUGGGGACACAGCUGUCCCAUCCCCAUGGCUCCCGGUGUCUCACCCCAUGGCGACCCAGCUGUCACCACUCCUGGGUACCCAUCUGUCCCACCCCACGGUGCCACGGGUGCCACCAACCUUGAGGACCCCCACGUCCCCCCCCCGGCGCAGGGCUCUCACCGUGCCCGCUGUCCCCCCCCUCGGUGUCUCCUGUGCUGCAGCUCCAGCUCCAGCGCCGUCACCUCGUCCCGCAGCCGCCCCAAUGUCACCGCGUUGCUGCGGGCCACCGCCGCCAGCCGCUGCCCCACGGCCAGCCGGGCACCGCGCUGCCCCACGGCCUGCCCCACGGCCUGCCCCACGGCCUGCCCCACCUGGGGGCACGGGGACAGAGGGACACGCGGUGGCGUGGGGACGCAGGGACGCGGCGGGGCUGAGCGUGGGUGUGGGGCGCAGGGACGUGGGGACACACGGGGACAUGUGGGGACGUGGGGACAUGGGGGGCAGCCCCACAUCAUGGGGACACCCCCACCUUAUGGGGACACGUGGGGACGUGGGGACACCCCCACAUCAUGGGGACAUCGCCACGGGGGCAGAUGGGGACACCCCCGCUUGAUGGGGACACGUGGGGACACACAGGGACAU
rnacentral:lncRNA from 1 species